rnacentral:rRNA from 1 species
CGGGUGCGUAACGCGUAUGCAACCUGCCGUCUACUCUUGGACAGCCUUCUGAAAGGAAGAUUAAUACAAGAUGGCAUCAUGAGUCCGCAUGUUCACAUGAUUAAAGGUAUUCCGGUAGACGAUGGGGAUGCGUUCCAUUAGAUAGUAGGCGGGGUAACGGCCCACCAGCUCGAUGGAUAGGGGUUCUGAGAGGAAGGUCCCCCACAUUGGAACUGAGACACGGUCCAA